rnacentral:lncRNA from 1 species
AGAAGAUAUUGUAAAGGUCAGAUUGUGAUAGUCAUGAGUUAGGAUAAGCUUGGUGCUACCUCUUUGUUUCUUUGUUGUUGAAGAGUAAUGGAUUUUUUUUGAAUACUAAGAAGUGAAUCUGUGAAAUAAAUCAGAGAUUGAUUUAUGAGUUGUUGAUUAUGUAAUUGGAAUACUAUGUAAUUGAAUUAUAUGAGAAGUUAUUCGAAGAUUGAUUAUAGAUAGAAGAUUAUGAUUAUUGUUUAUAGAGAGUUGUGUGUGUUUCAAUAGAAGAAGUCUAUGAUUACAAAAAUUAUGUGAAUCUAGAUUGGUUGGAGUGAAGUCUAUUAUUUUUGAUAUUGGAUGGAAUUUAUGUAGUUUGAGCGGUCUUUUGAGAGUGCAGGGUUGUACAUUGUUGUUAUCAGUUGAUGAAGGAGUAUUGUUAUUGGAAGAAAGCAUUGUAGUAUUUCUU